CACGCGUUACUUUCCUUCAUAUUCCCCAUUAUAAUAAUGUGUGUAUGUGGAGUAAUUUGAUACUUGUGGCGAUACAUGCGGCUAUCUUACACAGACAGAUGCUCGCAGUCUCGUAGGAAGUAAUGUACAUACUGUAGUGUGCUGCCAAUUUGAUCACUAUGGCGACGAGGAUAAAUUGAAUUUAAUUUAUUGGAAAUUAGGUGCGAAUAUCAAGUCUCAUACAAGAAAUCUCACAAUUCGAAAGGAUAAUUCAGGAUGACUUCCACUCUACCCUCAUUGGAGAAAUUUGACUGCGAUGGUGAUCCAGGGUCGGUGGGCUUAAAAUGGGAAAGUGGAAGAGAGCCAGAUAUUCCUUGUAGUUGCUAAUAUCAAAAAAGAAGAAAUGAAGAGAACUACUUUUCUACAUACUGAGAGAUCUGGGAGGACUUCAGGAAAUAGCCAGGAGCACAAAGAUUUGGAACGAAGGAUGAGAAAGUCUAUGAGAUAGCUAUACAGAAAUUAGAAGAAUACUUUGCUCCGAAACAAAAAUAAAUGAACGUCAUAUAUUUAGGUUAAUGAAAUAAGAUGGAGAAAAUUUUGAAAAGUUUGUAGUACGUCUGAGAAAUCAAGCAGAGACAUGUAAAUUUUUUGAUGCUGAACAUAUAAUUGAAUAGUGUCAGAAAAAUGUAAAAUUAAAAAAUUAAAAAAAAAUAAUAAUAAUGACUGAAGAAACAAUUAAUUUAAAUGCAAUCAUCGCAGAAACCAGCGCAUUGGAGACUAUAACUCAACAAUUAGAAAAUUUCAUGAGUGCAAACACGAAGCAAGAAAUAAAUAGACUGAAAAUGGCAUAAAAGGAUACGAAAACAAAAUGCUCCCGAUGUGGGAGUGCAAAUCAUUUAGCUGAGGACAAAAAUGUCCAGUACAGAAAUAAGAAAUGUCUCAAGUGUAGUUAUAUCGAUCAUUACAAAGAAUAUUGUAAAAUAAUCAUGAGGAAACACCUUGGAUUUAAAAGCAGUAGUAAAGAAGAGAUUCAAAGCACAAAAAACCUAAAAGAAAACAAUACCAGGUAUAUCAAUGAUGUUGAUAAUUAUGUGCAUCAUAUUGAUGAUAAUGACAGCUUCAUUACUUUUACGUGGGAGGAGUACCCAUUGAAUUGCUAAUAGAUUUAGGAAGUAAAUGCAACUUAUUAACAGAUAAAACGUGGGAAAAUUUGAAAGACAAAACGAUCCAAGUUUCAAUCAAAUAAAAAAUCCAGACAAGGUUUUCAUCCUGUAUGGAAAAACAACCUUUAGAAGUAAUCAGAUCUUUUGAAUCUGAGAUAAUCAUUAAUAAAAUUACAAAAAAACUACAUUCUAUGAUAUAAAACGGAACAAUAGAUCUCCUAGGCAAGAUUACUACUAAAGCUCUGGAAGUGUUGCUCGUGUUAUAGCCUAAAUAGCUAUAACCGAAUUAUUAUUAAUAUUAAAUAGCUUAAAGAAAUAUUUCUCAACACGGGUUAGCGAGAUAUUGCGAAAGGCGUAUAAUGUUACCAGCGCUGUAUGAAACGCUGACGAAGCGAACCGCGCGCCGAAGCUAAGCGAUUGCGAAAAGAUUGAACCACCGAAAAUGCAAGGAAUUUCGAUCGAACGAUCUUAACUUGCAUUUCGGUCUAACAAUUCGAAACAAACGACACAACCAUAUAUGGCCAUGUCGCUAAGGGA